GCGACUCUCUGUCUGUAACUGACGCUGAGGCUCGAAAGCGUGGGGAGCAAACAGGAUUAGAUACCUGGUAGUCCACGCCGUAAACGAUGAGUGCUAAGUGUUGGAGGGUUCCGCCUUUCAGUGCUGCAGCUAACGCAUUAAGCACUCCGCAUGGGGAGUACGACCGCAAGGUUGAAACUCAAAGGAAUUGACGGGGGCCCGCACAAGCGGUGGAGCAUGUGUUAAUUCGAAGCAACGCGAAGAACCUUACCAGGUCUUGACAUCCUUUGACCACUCUAGAGAUAGAGCUUUCCCUUCGGGGACAAAGUGACAGGUGGUGCAUGGUUGUCGUCAGCUCGUGUCGUGAGAUGUUGGGUUAAGUCCCGCAACGAGCGCAACCCUUAUUGUUAGUUGCCAUCAUUCAGUUGGGCACUCUAGCGAGACUGCCGGUGACAAACCGGAGGAAGGUGGGGAUGACGUCAAAUCAUCAUGCCCCUUAUGACCUGGGCUACACACGUGCUACAAUGGGAAGUACAACGAGUCGCUAGGCCGCGAGGUCAUGCAAAUCUCUUAAAGCUUCUCUCAGUUCGGAUUGCAGGCUGCAACUCGCCUGCAUGAAGCCGGAAUCGCUAGUAAUCGCGGAUCAGCACGCCGCGGUGAAUACGUUCCCGGGCCUUGUACACACCGCCCGUCACACCACGAAAGUUUGUAACACCCGAAGUCGGUGAGGUAACCUUUUGGAGCCAGCUGCCUAAGGUGGGAUAGAUGAUUGGGGUGAAGUCGUAACAAGGUAACCAAGGGCGAAUUCUG
rnacentral:rRNA from 1 species